CGGAAGUGCCGCAGCAGCGGAGCGGCGCAGCGGUGGGGGAGGGGGUUAAAAUGGAGACUGCGAGCCAGAGGGGCUUGGGGGGGGGGACGGCCAUACUGGUGCCAUACUGGUCCAUACUGGUGCCAUACUGGUGCCAUACUGGUGUCAUACUGGUGCCAUACUGGUCCCUAUUGGUCCCCACUGGUCCAUACUGGUCCAUACUGGUGCCCACUGGUCCUUACUGGUCCAUAGUGGUCCAUACUGGUGCCAUACUGGUCCGUACUGGUCCAUGCUGGUCCAUACUGGUGCCAUACUGGUCCAUACUGGUGCCAUACUGGUGCCAUACUGGUGUCAUACUGGUGCCAUACUGGUCCCUAUUGGUCCCCACUGGUCCAUACUGGUGCCAUACUGGUGCCCACUGGUCCUUACUGGUCCAUAGUGGUCCAUUCUGUUGCCAUAGUGGUCCCUACUGGUCCAUACUGGUCCAUACUGGUGCCAUACUGGUCCCUAUUCAUCCAUACUGGUCCCUACUGGUGCCAUACUGGUCCGUACUGGUCCAUGCUGGUCCAUACUGGUGCCAUACUGGUCCCAAUUCGUCCAUACUGGUCCCUUACUGGUGCCAUACUGGUGUCAUACUGGUGUCAUAGUGGUCCAUACUGGUCCCUACUGGUGCCAUACUGGUGCCCACUGGUCCCAUUCUGGUGCCAUACUGGUGCCAUACUGGUGUCAUACUGGUCCAUAGUGGUCCAUACUGGUGCCAUUCUGGUGCCAUACUGGUGUCAUACUGGUCCAUUCUGUUGCCAUACUGGUCCAUACUGGUCCAUACUGGUCCAUGCUGGUGCCAUACUGGUCCCUAUUCAUCCAUACUGGUCCCUACUGGUGCCAUACUGGUGUCAUACUGGUGUCAUACUGGUCCAUUCUGUUGCCAUACUGGUCCCCACUGGUCCAUACUGGUCCAUGCUGGUGCCAUACUGGUGCCAUACUGGUGACAUAUUGGUCCCUAUUGGUCCCCACUGGUCCAUACUGGUCCAUACUGGUGCCAUACUGGUGCCCACUGGUCCCAUUCUGGUGCCAUACUGGUGUCAUACUGGUCCUUACUGGUCCAUGCUGGUCCAUACUGGUGCCAUACUGGUGCCCACUGGUCCCAUUCUGGUGCCAUACUGGUGCCAUACUGGUCCUUACUGGUCCAUAGUGGUCCAUACUGGUGCCAUACUGGUCCCUACUGGUCCAUGCUGGUCCAUACUGGUCCAUACUGGUGCCAUACUGGUGCCAUAUUGGUCCCUAUUGGUCCCCACUGGUCCAUACUGGUCCAUACUGGUGCCAUACUGGUGCCAUACUGGUGCCCACUGGUCCCAUUCUGGUGCCAUACUGGUGUCAUACUGGUCCCGACUGGUCCAUGCUGGUCCAUACUGGUCCCUACUGGUCCGUAGUGGUCCAUACUGGUGCCAUACUGGUCUCUACUGGUCCAUACUGGUCCCUACUGGUGCCAUACUGGUCCCUAUUCAUCCAUACUGGUCCAUACUGGUGCCAUAGUGGUUCCCACUGGUCCACACUGGUCUAUACUGGUGCAAUACUGAUCUCUACUGGUUCCACACUGGUCCAUACUGGUCUAUAAUGAUUCAUACUGGUCUAUACUGGUCCAUACUGGUUCCAUACUGGUUCCUUACUGGUCCACACUGCUUCCAUUUCGGUCCAUACUGGUUCCAUACUGGUGCCAUACUGGUUCCAUACUGGUCCAUACUGGGCCCUCCCCGAAGCCCUCGGUCAGAAGGCGGCGUCACUCCGUCUCCGAGCAAC
ensembl:lncRNA